rnacentral:misc_RNA from 1 species
AACGCACAUUGCGCCCUUUGGUAUUCCUUAGGGCAUGCCUGUUCGAGCGUCAUUUAAACCUUCAAGCUCAGCUUGGUGUUGGGCGUCUGUCCCCCCUCGCGGGGACUCGCCUCAAAUGCAUUGGCAGCCGGUACGUUGGCUUCGAGCGCAGCAGAAACGCGCCCGGCGUCUGGCGUCGUCCGGCUCUCCAGCAAGCCAAACCCACGUUUGACCUCGGAUCAGGUAGGGAUACCCGCUGAACUUAA